UACGUAGGUCCCGAGCGUUGUCCGGAUUUAUUGGGCGUAAAGCGAGCGCAGGUGGUUUAAUAAGUCUGAUGUAAAAGGCAGUGGCUCAACCAUUGUGUGCAUUGGAAACUGUUAGACUUGAGUGCAGUAGAGGAGAGUGGAAUUCCAUGUGUAGCGGUGAAAUGCGUAGAUAUAUGGAGGAACACCGGUGGCGAAAGCGGCUCUCUGGACUGUCACUGACACUGAGGCUCGAAAGCGUGGGUAGCAAACA
rnacentral:rRNA from 1 species